rnacentral:rRNA from 1 species
CCUACGGGAGGCAGCAGUGGGGGAUAUUGCACAAUGGGGGAAACCCUGAUGCAGCGACGCCGCGUGGGUGAAGAAGCGCCUCGGCGCGUAAAGCCCUGUCAGCAGGGAAGAAAAUGACGGUACCUGAAGAAGAAGCCCCGGCUAACUACGUGCCAGCAGCCGCGGUAAUACGUAGGGGGCAAGCGUUAUCCGGAUUUACUGGGUGUAAAGGGGGCGCAGACGGCGAUGCAAGCCAGGAGUGAAAGCCCGGGGCCCAACCCCGGGACUGCUCUGGGAACUGGGUGGCUAGAGUGCAGGUGGGGCAGGCGGAAUUCCUGGUGUAGCGGUGAAAUGCGUAGAUAUCAGGAGGAACACCGGUGGCGAAGGCGGCCUGCUGGACUGCAACUGACGUUGAGGCCCGAAAGCGUGGGGAGCAAACAGGAUUAGAUACCCUAGUAGUC